rnacentral:rRNA from 1 species
GUGCCAGCAGCCGCGGUAAUACGUAGGUGGCAAGCGUUAUCCGGAAUUAUUGGGCGUAAAGCGCGCGUAGGCGGUUUUUUAAGUCUGAUGUGAAAGCCCACGGCUCAACCGUGGAGGGUCAUUGGAAACUGGAGAACUUGAGUGCAGAAGAGGAAAGUGGAAUUCCAUGUGUAGCGGUGAAAUGCGCAGAGAUAUGGAGGAACACCAGUGGCGAAGGCGACUUUCUGGUCUGUAACUGACGCUGAUGUGCGAAAGCGUGGGGAUCAAACA